GGCGGCCGCCGAAGAAAUUAGGCGGCCGCGCAGCGCCGCUGCAGAUUAUUCAUCUUUGCCCCAUCCUCUUGGACCUCGCUGCUAUUCCUUCCUGGCGACCGCGCCGUCCGGCGUUGAGGAGCUCGUGAUUGUCAGCAGGGACAACGAGGGUGGGCGCCUGGGGGAGACACCGUUCCCUCCCGAUGCUACCCUGGGCAUCGCGGAUGGCAUUGGCGAAGCAGUCAUAAUUGUACGCGAGGAGGACGACCUGAGGAGCCGUGUCUUCUGGCUGCGGCCAGUGAAGCGCAGCGCGACGGAGGCUCUCCAGAAGUGUACUGGCAAGGGCCGCCCUCGCGCCAGAGCUCCACCGCAUUGCCCGAGAUCUCUGCCGCGGCCGUUGAUACAAGCACGCCCUUGAGAAUUUCAUGGAAAGGACCAAAAACUGAAUUCAGUCGUGCUUCUGCUGUAGGAAUCUGUGCAGUCACCAGGAAGAUGUGGCCACAAGACUCGUGGAGCGUGUUUUUGACUUGCAAAGAGAAUGACUGAACGUUUCUAGGUGCACGUUAGGCACAGUUUCAGUUUUAAAUUUCAAUCGUAGAUUGCUAGGAAUCUACACGAUUCUUCUGUUUCUAGGUGCACGUGACAGUUUCAGUCUUGCACAGAGAAUGGCUUAACGGUUUUUCCUUCUCCAGCUGUGAUUCACUCUUUUUUCUUUGAGGUUUCUGAAAUUUCUCAGAGUGACCAUCUUUCCUGACCAUUAUAACUCGUGUCAUUUGUUAUGCGGUGCAGUAGCUUCUAUUAUAGUUCAUCUACACUCGGUUAAUUGAAAGUAUGAUUGAAUGCAGAUUCAGGUGUGCUAUUUGUUUUCUGUCUGUCUAAUGAAGUAUUAUUGUGAUACAUGUAUAUGCCUCCAGGCUGGACAGUUUAGAUGCUCUGCUGCCUCCGUUUAAGUCUUGUGCUCUGCUUUCUACCAUGAUGGAGUUUUAAUCAGCAAAAAUUCGAUAAUCAUCCCACUUCCGAUGCUUGACAUCAAAUACAGAAUUGUUGGAUUGGCUCUUCUACCGAACAUUGUUGUUUACUUUAUUUAUGUUGCCCAGCUAUUUCUUCAAGGAAUGUUGGCCAGCUAUUUAUUCAAGGAAGAACCAACAAAGCCUGGGGCAUGAUAUAUUGGCAUCUAAUAGAAGUUAGAAUAUAUUGCACCUGAUAAUGAGUGACUAAUCCACACAGCUUUAAUACAACAAUGAAGACACUUCAAAUAAAAUUGGUGAUCUACAUACAUAGUCAAAAAAUUCCCGAAAACUAGCAUUGUCCACUGCCUUCUCUUUCCAGAAAUUAGCUGGGCCAAAUAUUUCCUUCAACAAAACCAUAUUUUAAUCUUAAUAAUGGUUGUUUCGUAAUUUAACUGUGGUGGUAACUAUAUUAAUGUGCUGUUUUUUCCCCAGAAGGAAACUU